UUUCCUGUCAAAGUCAAUCUUGAUCUGCCCUCUUGCUUCUUGAAAACAAAUGCACUUUAAGAGACGACUAAUGCAAUGCAGCAAAGAACGUAUUGCCAUCUAAGGUUUCCUCUGAUGAGAAGUCUGUGAAUAAGCCAAGGCAAUGACAAUAAUUUUCUAUUUCUGGUGUAUCUCUGCAGCAGCAAUCUUCGUUCAAGGCCAACCAGGUUUCAUCAGCAUUGACUCUGGACUUGCUGCAAAUACCAGCUACAAUAAUCUCACAGGGAUAGAGUACGCCUCCGAUGCAAGAUAUGUCGAUACUGGAGAGAUUCACACUAUCUCCAGUGCUUAUCAGACCAGUUCACUAGCACCUCAAAACGUACACCUGAGGAGCUUUCCUGAUGGCAGUAGAAACUGCUAUACUCUAAAACCUGUACAAAGGGGCAACAAGUAUCUCAUUAGAGCUGGUUUCUUGUAUGGAAACUAUGAUGGCCGAAAUCACAUACCACGCUUUGACAUAUAUAUUGGGGUUAAUCACUGGGAUUCCUUCAAAUUCUCGAACCCAGCAUUUGUGUAUGGGACAGAGACUAUGAUUGUUGCCUCAGCUGAUUUCAUAUCAGUUUGUCUUGUCAACACUGGAGAUGGAACACCAUUCAUAUCAUCACUGGAGCUAAGGCCUCUCACUGGACUGUACAGUGCCCUGAAUGAAUCAAAUUAUUUUCUCAACCUUCAACGAUAUGACCUGGGGUCAACCAGCAAUCGAUCGACCAGGUACCCAUACGAUGUCUACGAUCGCAUGUGGACUGCUGACAAGAACUUACCUCCAAAUUCAUUUGUUCUAAUGAAUACCUCCUUAAAUAUCAGUACUUCGUCAGACGAUGACUUUAAAGUUUCAUCAACCAUCAUGAGGACUUAUGUCACUCCAUCUGAUGGCUCCGACAUCAAUUACUACUGGGAGCUGCCGAUGGAAACUCCAACUGUCCAACAACACAUUGUUCUACACUUUGCAGAGAUCGAAUUGCUUUUGAGCAAUGAGUCACGGAUAUUUGACAUAUAUUUGAAUGGAAAAUUGUGGCGUAAAGCAUUCAGUCCUCGUUACUUGCAGAUAGAUCAUGUAUUCACUACAGAACCUUUGGAUUCAGUUUCCAACAAUAUUAAUAUCUUGAAGGCAGCCAAUUCCACCCAUCCUCCGAUUCUGAAUGCACUAGAAGUCUUCAAAGUUAGGAGCCUCUUAGAGUUGUCUACAGAUAAUGGAGAUGUUGAUGCAAUCAUGGGAGUGAAGGCAGCAUACCAGAUAAAGAGAAAUUGGAUAGGUGAUCCCUGUAGUCCAAGAAUUUACUCAUGGGAAGGACUGCGUUGUAAUUCCAGUGGCUCCAUGUCACAAAGACUCACAUAUCUAAACCUAGCUGAUGGUGGAUUGCUUGGGGAAAUUGCUGCCUCUUUUGCUAAGCUUGGUGCUCUGGAACACUUGAACUUAUCAGGCAAUAGUUUGUCAGGAGCUAUACCUGAUGCUCUCGGAGAACUACCUUUUCUACGAUUACUGGACUUGUCGAACAACCAAUUGCAAGGGUCGAUUCCUACUCUUCUUCAAAAAAGAUCAGAAAACCAUUCUCUUACAUUAAGAUAUGAGGGCAAUCCUGAUCUUUGUUAUGGAAGCAAUUCAUGUAAGCAGCGGAAGAUGUCAAUUGCCAUCAUCAUAGUUAUAGUAGCGAUUGCAGCAGUAUUUCUUCUAAUGGUGGCAGCAUGUAUAUGGAAAGUAAAGAGGGCAAAGCAAGCAGGUUGUUUGAAGCCACAGAAAGAAGAUGGCUUUUCAGGACAUCGAAAAGAUAAAAAUAAGCAAUUUCAAUUGAAAAAUCAAGAAUUUACGCACGAAGAUAUUGUUUAUAUAACCAAAAAUUUCCAGCACACCAUUGGUAAAGGGGGAUUUGGGACAGUUUACCUUGGUGAGUUACAAGAUGGAACUCAAGUUGCUGUCAAGGUGAAUUCUCAAUCAUCAUCACAAGGGAUAAAUGAGUUUCAAGCGGAGGCUGAGCUCUUGACAAAGAUACAUCAUAAGAAUCUGAUGUCUUUGGUUGGAUACUGUGAGGAUGAGAAUUUUCUAGCACUUGUGUACGAAUAUAUGGCUCAAGGAAGUCUUGAGCAGCAUCUUCGAGGUAAGACUAGUUUCUCUAGAAUUUUACAAUGGAUCGAGAGGCUCCAAAUUGCAAUUGAAGCUGCCCAAGGCUUGGAGUAUCUUCAUAGUGGAUGCAAGCCUCCUAUAAUCCAUAGAGAUGUGAAGCCUACCAACAUCCUCCUAAACCACAAAGGAGAGGCCAAAAUAGCAGACUUUGGGGUUUCCAGGAUUUUCCAAAAUGACCAAACUCAUGUAUCUACUGCUGUUGUUGGCACUAUGGGAUACCUUGAUCCAGAGUACUUCUUCAGUUGCAAGCUGACUGAGAAAAGUGAUGUCUAUAGUUUUGGGGUUGUUCUCUUAGAAUUGAUCACCGGCCUUCCUGCUAUAUUGAGAAAUCCAGACAGGGGAAUAUUAGUUCACUGGGUUUCUCCAAUACUUGCAAGGGGAGACGUAGAUACUGUGACUGAUGACAGGAUGCAAAGGGAGAAUGGCACUAGCUCAGUUUGGAAGGCUGCAGAAAUCGCAUUGAGGUGUGUUCUGCCUACCUCAAUUGAGAGGCCAACCAUGAGUGAAGUGGUGAUCCAGUUGAAGGAGUGCAUGGCACUGGAGGUUUCUUCUCGCUCUUCUGGAAGGACCCAGAUACAAUACGCAUCUGAAGUUGAUAUAGACAAUUGUGAUGCAAUUGGGUUGUCCUCUGCAGGAACCACCGUUAACCAUUAUGAAGAUCGCAGUUCAGUUGAAUUUUCUUCUUCUGGAAUGAGUACUGACCAUCAUCAAAAUGAAUUUGUUGUGUCCCCAAGUGCAGCUUUGCUUGGCUACAUAUCCAGUGACACUUCUCAAUCAUAUGGCACCGAGAAGGAAGUGGAACCAAAGAGAUGUACUUUUUCAUUGGCGUGACAUGCAUUGAGAGAUCGGAUGGCGGUCACAUAACUUCCAACCGGAGCAGUGCUAUUGGUGCAGUGAGUUCCUUUAAUUGAACUGGUGGUUGUAGCUGCAUUUGUUAGUUAUUCUAGGAGAUCAAUGAGCUGGCAUGAUGUGGCUUGUUCUUGAAAAAUGUCACUAAUUCAGAGAGAACUUGGUAGACCAAACGAACGUUGACUGUGAUAGACGACCAAAAACAAGAAUGUCCAUGCUGCGGUCUGAUCUCAGGAGCUGGAAUACUUUCUGGGGAAGAUGAUGGACAUGAUGCUGUUCUUUCUCCUUUGGUAUGUGUGGUGGACAGCAAUCUUAUCCCACUGCCAACCAGGUUUCAUAAACAUUGAUUGUGGAUAUGCUGUGAACACCAGCUACAUAAACAACCUCACAGGGAUGGAGUACGUUUCUGAUGCAGAAUACAUCGACACCGCAGAAAACCACAACAUUUCCAGAGCUCACUAAUACAGUUCGCUUCCAGUCCAAAACUUUAGUGCUUCACUUGAUCGUUCUUAUGGUCAAUGAUGCUAGUUUUUAGAUGAAUAACAGCUAUUGGAAAG